CAUAUCAAUUCCGUUACAAUCAGUUGAAGUCUUAGAUUUAAACAUUUUUCAUGAUUGUGACUAUUUCCUCCUGUGUCACAUUACUGAGGAACAUGGAGUUGGGAUUUGCAAUCUGAGGCAGAGAAUGAGGAGCUGCCAGAAAAAAGGAACAGGAAGCCAGUCCAUCGUCUCGGGGACUCGGAUGAUAGUGAAGAAGACCCGGGAAAUGGUGACCUUGCAUCUCUGGGGUUGGCAAGCCAAUUGCACAGACAGACUCCACCGUCUCGCCGAGUGCCAGCAAGAGUCAUGAGUACUUGUCAACUCGACUCCUCAACUGGAGAUAACUUUCUAAGACGCAUUCAUAUGCCUUCACCAGCACCUGCAUUAAACAUGCAGAGAGUUACACAAGGUAGGG